GUAGUCUCGCACAGAUGCAUAUCAAUAAGCGGAGGAAAAGAAACUAACAAGGAUUCCCCUAGUAACGGCGAGUGAAGCGGGAAGAGCUCAAAUUUGAAAUCUUAAAGGGUUUCCCUUUACGAAUUGUAGUUUAAAGAAGUGUUUUCUGUUGAGGUUUUGGUAAAAGUUCUUUGGAAUAGGACAUCAUAGAGGGUGAGAAUCCCGUAUUUGACCUUUACUUUCAACUUUGUGAUACACUUUCAAAGAGUCGGAUUGUUUGGGAAUGCAGUCCAAAAUGGGUGGUAAAUUUCAUCUAAAGCUAAAUAUUGGCGAGAGACCGAUAGCGAACAAGUACCGUGAGGGAAAGAUGAAAAGAACUUUGAAAAGAGAGUUAAACAGUACGUGAAAUUGUCAAAAGGGAAGCGUUUGACACCAGUGUUGUUUUUCUGAAAAUCAAUUAAAGAACUGUUUAUGCUAAGUUGUUUAGACUUUAUCAGCUAACUGUUUAGUUUUGAGCUUUUCUUUAAUGCACUUUUCAGUUAACAAGUCAACAUCAAUUUCUUUUGCUGUAAAAAAGCUUGAGGAAGGUGGCUUGAGAUUCGUCUUAAGUGUUUAUAGCCUCUUGCCUAUGCAGUCGGAGAGAUUGAGGUCUGCAGCGUAGAUCCUUCGGGGCUAAAUGCAUUUGUGCUAAGUUAUAGCAUUUUAUAGACAACUUGUUGACUAUGAUUUGUCUUGUAGCUUACUCGCUUAUGUUAUUUUACCUACGCUUAGGAUGUUGAUCUGUAGUGCGUGCG
rnacentral:rRNA from 1 species